AGUCCUGCGUUACGGUGGCUGUUGCGUUCUCCCACCUUCUGGGCCAAGAGGCUGGACUGGCGCAGCCGCUCCUCGGCGCUCAGCGCCCGCAGACGCCGCUUCAGCUCGGCCCGCAGGCUCCGCUUGGCGCUGCUCACGGCCGCCGCCGCCAUCUCGCGGGUGCGAUCCGGGUCCCGUCCGCAGGCCGCUGGGUCCGCUGGCCCCCCGCUUCCGGGUCGCCGGGCGCACCACGCCUCCCGCCCUUGGUACCCGAACUACGUGCAGCCUUCGCGGUCAAUUAGCUGGGAGGGAGCUGGUUUACUGCCGAUGGGCGGGACAGAUGCUUGAUGAAGCAAGUGAUUUUCUCUUACUAUCAGCAUGUCUCUUCUGUUCACCUCUGGAGAACUCAGGACUGAAAGGCAUGUGACUUGGAUUGGGAGCAGAGAGGAUAGUAGCUCAAGGGAAUAACUAGGCGUGGAGAAAGGCUCAGUAAUCUGAUGAAAAGCAAAGUGCUAAACAGAACACACAGUGAGCUGCACUUUGAAAGACCAGGUCACCAACCAAGCCAGAAACAGAAACGACUAUCCCGGAGUCUCCUCCAUAUCUGGUUGCCAUAUUCGUCAACUUUACAUGGCAACUGUAAAGUGUGGCAGAGAGGGCAUUGGUGGAAAACCCUACGUAAGCAUCUAGGGGCACUGGGGACUCCAGAAAGCUUGGAGCCCAGAGGUGCAUGGGAAGCAGACCUCACCCAUCAUCAGUCUAGACUGGUGACACCGAAAAUGAUUUUUGGGUAAUGGACACACCCUUAAGAAAAUCUGCCGAAGACAUCACCUUCCUGGUCAUCAUUCUCUUAAUUCAAUCUCUGUACCCUGUAUUGAGCUUUACCCUCUUGUUGGACCCGCAGGCAGGACACAAAUUACGUAUAGAAACAAAUACAUACAAUUUAUUCAUUAAAAUGGGGACAAAAUUCCCAUAACUCUGGAAUGUCAAGUUAUAUCAUCAAAGUUAUUUGUUUAGAAGUAGAAGUAAGUGUUGGCAAGUGCUUCUUGUACGAUUCAAGAAAAUUAGGCAGAUUUCACAAUAUGGAGUGUCCUUUUUGGUCAAUAGUACUGCUUCAGGAGACAUAAUAUUUCACAGAUCUUUCCUGUAACUUCCAGAAAAGUCAGCCAGCCAGAUUUGGGUUCAAACUUCUUUACAAAGCCAUUUUCCUAUGAGAGAACAAAUUUAACAUUUUAACAAUUAGUGGAGACUAAGUUUGCUGGAAUGAAAAGCAAAGAAACUUUCAUUUAAAUAAUGCAGGUAGUCAAUCUUCUCUGUACUUUCACCAGUUUUAUUCUAUUCAUCCUAUUAUCAUUC